UACGUAGGGUCCGAGCGUUGUCCGGAAUUACUGGGCGUAAAGAGCUCGUAGGUGGUUUGUCACGUUGUUCGUGAAAACCCACAGCUCAACUGUGGGCGUGCGAGCGAUACGGGCAGACUAGAGUACUGCAGGGGAGACUGGAAUUCCUGGUGUAGCGGUGGAACGCGCAGAUAUCAGGAGGAACACCGGUGGCGAAGGCGGGUCUCUGGGCAGUAACUGACGCUGAGGAGCGAAAGCGUGGGGAGCGAACAGG
rnacentral:rRNA from 1 species